UAUCAAAAAUUGAUGUAAAGCGCUGCUGAAAAUAUUUUAUCUUGGGCUAUAUAAAAAUACCUCACUAGGGCAUUAAACGCGAGGAGGAAAAAAACAGCAGAGAUCAUUUUUAGAGCAAAUCGAGAGCGCCUAGCCAACAAAGCUGAAAACAGUGCGUGAAACGCGUGCGUUCGUGCAACAAGAAAAGCAGAAAAGCAAGAAAAGAAAAGAAAAUCAAAGCAAAUUCUGUUAAUUUGUGUUUACAAAUUUCAAUUGGCUCAAUCAACGCGCUACAGCAGCUGCUUGCAACAUUUGCCACUAACGACACUACAUACAACAUUUUGAAUGGAAGCAACAUUGAGGCGACAUUACAAUAACAACACAUUACAACAACAACAACAACAACAAGCAAGCUUUGACAAAACAACAAUAACAAGAAGAGCAACUGCAUUAAGCUACACACAUUACGUUGGCA